rnacentral:tRNA from 2 species
GGAGAGAUGGUUGAGUGGUUGAUAGCUCCGGUCUUGAAAACCGGUAUAGUUCUAGGAACUAUCGAGGUUCGAAUUCCUCUCUCUCCU